AUUGAACGCUGGCGGCAGGCCUAACACAUGCAAGUCGAGCGGAUGAAGGGAGCUUGCUCCUGGAUUCAGCGGCAGACGGGUGAGUAAUGCCUAUGAAUCUGCCUGGUAGUGGGGGAUAACGUCCGGAAACGGGCGCUAAUACCGCAUACGUCCUGAGGGAGAAAGUGGGGGAUCUUCGGACCUCACGCUAUCAGAUGAGCCUAGGUCGGAUUAGCUAGUUGGUAGGGUAAAGGCCUACCAAGGCGACGAUCCGUAACUGGUCUGAGAGGAUGAUCAGUCACACUGGAACUGAGACACGGUCCAGACUCCUACGGGAGGCAGCAGUGGGGAAUAUUGGACAAUGGGCGAAAGCCUGAUCCAGCCAUGCCGCGUGUGUGAAGAAGGUCUUCGGAUUGUAAAGCACUUUAAGUUGGGAGGAAGGGCAGUAAGUUAAUACCUUGCUGUUUUGACGUUACCAACAGAAUAAGCACCGGCUAACUUCGUG
rnacentral:rRNA from 1 species